rnacentral:ncRNA from 1 species
AGAAUAAAAGGGCAAAACUAACGAAAGUUAGUGACGCAAAGCUAUGGGUCUAAAUCUAUAUUUAAAGAUAUGAUUGCCAGGUUGCCAUG